GAUUUUUUGGAUCUAACCAUUUCAGUACAAGGGUGUCACAUCUACACCAAAACAUAUUUCAAACCUACCGAUACUAAUAGUUGUAUUGAAUCCACUAGUGGACACCAUCCUAGAUGGUUGUCGGGAGUACCCAGAAGCCAGUAUACCCGAUUCCGACGAAAUUGUUCUAAUAAGGAUAUUUAUCUAGAACAAGCCGACAUUUUGACUAAAAAAUUUAUUGAGAAG